rnacentral:misc_RNA from 1 species
GAUGAAGAACGCAGUGAAAUACGAUACGUAAUGUGAAUUGCAGAAUUCAGUGAAUCAUCGAGUCUUUGAACGCACAUUGCGCCCCCUGGUAUUCCGGGGGGCAUGCCUGUCCGAGCGUCAUUGCUGCCCUCAAGCACGGCUUGUGUGUUGGGCCUCCGUCCUCCUCCCGGGGGACGGGCCCGAAAGGCAGCGGCGGCACCGCGUCCGGUCCUCGAGCGUAUGGGGCUUCGUCACCCGCUCUUGUAGGCCCGGCCGGCGCUUGCCGACACAUCAAUCUUUUUUCCAGGUUGACCUCGGAUCAGGUAGGGAUACCCGCUGAACUUAAGCAUAUGAAUAAGCGGAGGA